ACCGACCUUCACAUAAGCUUGCUUGGAGUACAGAAACAGUUUCUGAAUCUGAAAGACUUCUCCGUACUAUAAAACUGAAGGCACACAAAUCUGCCCUUCAAGCUAUAAUUAACUGGACAUACUAAAAUGGGAACCAGUAAGACUGCCUGAGCCCACAGAAUACAGAAUAGAAGCUGGAGUGCUGGUAGGAACAAAUUCUCCAUGUGAUAGCCUUUUGUGGAAUGCAAAAGUCUGUGAGCACAUCCCAGUGAUGACUACUGUGACUCUGAACUAGAGAAUUUUCACUUAAGAGGCAUUUACUGCCUUGUUAUAGGACAUUAACUGAAGACAUUCUAUGAUGGAAGGACAUAAAAUGAUCAUGACAUCUGAAAUACCCAUGCUCUUUGGGGCAAUGUCAGAAACAGUCUAAUUGGGGUCAGCAGUGCCCAGAAGAGUUCCACAAUAAAAUGGAGAUACUUUGUAUAUGAUCAUGCUACUUGGGAAAUUCAAGGAGGAGACACUCAUGAGCAGGGAGCCUCUUUUUCCCCAGGACUGACUCUGAAACUGUGUGAGAAGCUGCAGGAUUCUACAGUGCCCAUUAAACAGCUCUUACCUGACUGACAAAGAGCUGCCUGGUUUAUGAAUGGCAAUUCCAAGGUGAACAGACAACAAUCUGUUUGGAAGUCUGCUACUCUGACUGAAGAGGAGUCAAGAAAACUUUUUUUUCUUUUGAGCUAUUUAUAGCUUAUGACAAGUAAAGUAUAUCUUUAUGAGCAAAAUUUGCCUUUCUACCUGAGUUCUCACAAUUGUGGAAACUUCCUUCAUAAGUAUUCUUAUUUUAUGGCAAUAUAGUUAUUUGCAUACAUUCAAUAAGAAUCUGCUUUCUUUGGUAGCAGGACACAAUUGGAGAUGCUAGCUACUUUACCAAGGCUUUGACUGGAUUGGCAUAUUUUUAGAUAUGACCAGACUGCUUUGAGGAGUUGACAUUGACUUUACAGAGCCAAUAAAAGCACCUCGGAAAGACUAGCCUUCCAUCUUGUCUAUGUAGUUUCUUUAUAGUGUUCCUCACCUGCGAUAAGUAAAAAAUGUUACUUUCAACAGAUCCAGAAACCUCAAGUUAUUCUGGGACCUCCACAAGAGAUGAGUGGAGGUCCCAAAAUAACCCAAUUCAUAUAGGUAUCUGUAGGCAUGGAUAAAUCCUUGGUUUAGCUAACCUUAAGGCUUUUAAAAAGUCUAAACUAAGAUUCCUUAUGGAAAAGUUUCUGCAAAGUCAACUUAAAAGAGCCUAUAUGGCCAACGAAUAUUCUUGCCAUACUUUAUGCAAAUAGUCAGGCAAAGUAUAACACUUAUUUUGCAAAUAAAUUGGUCCUACUAUAAUUUGUCUUUGGUAGAAAUGGAAUACUAGAGAUAAAAAUUUUGUUUCAAAAGAAACUAUAGUAUACCUGUUACUAGAUUCUAGUCUUAGUCUUGUCUAUUACUUUUGAGUUUUUAUUGUUUUCUACAAUUUGAACUAAACCUGAAUUCUUCCCUGGCUACAAGUCUUCAAACUAAGAUUUUCAAAAAUUUCUUCCAUUUUUCUGACUUGAACUCUGUUCCAGACAGAAAUAUAGUUAUAACUAAGCAUUAAUAGGCUAUACUUUGGCCCAUUUCCUUGUUGCUAAAGUCACAUAGCACUACAUGCUGACCAUUUACAUCCCCACUGUUCUUACAGACAGGAUCUCUGACAUUAGAAUCAUAAGGAUUUUGCUUAAGGAUCAUUGAAAAUGUUUUUCAGACCCUGAGUUGCAGUGAAACAGCUGAUGCCAACCAGUCAGAAGACCCUCAUAGAGGAAUGAAAUCAGCAUGAGAAUACAGCUUCUUCAUCAUCCUGUCCCAUUACUUCACCUUACACUCUGACCAAUCAACAAUCUCCACACUUCAGCCCAGUCCAAAACCCUUAAAAACUCUAGGCCCAAACUUCUCAGGGAGAUGGAUUUGAGGUUUUCUCUCAUCUCCUAGUUUGGUGACCCCCAGAUUAAACCUUUUUCUCUGCUGCAAAAAAAAAAAAAAAAAAA
rnacentral:lncRNA from 1 species